UGGGGAAUAUUGCACAAUGGGCGCAAGCCCGAUGCAGCCAUGCCGCGUGUAUGAAGAAGGCCUUCGGGUUGUAAAGUACUUUCAGCGGGGAGGAAGGGAGUAAAGUUAAUACCUUUGCCCAUUGACGUUACCCGCAGAAGAAGCACCGGCUAACUCCGUGCCAGCAGCCGCGGUAAUACGGAGGGUGCAAGCGUUAAUCGGAAUUACUGGGCGUAAAGCGCACGCAGGCGGUUUGUUAAGUCAGAUGUGAAAUCCCCGGGCUCAACCUGGGAAGUGCAUCUGAUACUGGCAAGCUUGGGUCUCGUAGAGGGGGGUAGAAUUCCAGAUGUAGCGGUGAAAUGCGUAGAGAUCUUGAGGAAUACCGGUGGCGAAGGCGGCCCCCGGGACGAAGACUGACGCUCACGUGCGAAAGCGUGGGGAGCAAACAGG
rnacentral:rRNA from 1 species